GAUGAACGCUGGCGGCGUGCCUAAUACAUGCAAGUAGAACGCUGAAGCUUGGUGCUUGCACCGAGCGGAUGAGUUGCGAACGGGUGAGUAACGCGUAGGUAACCUGCCUCUUAGCGGGGGAUAACUAUUGGAAACGAUAGCUAAUACCGCAUAAAAGUCGACAUCGUAUGAUGUUGACUUGAAAGGUGCAAUUGCAUCACUAAGAGAUGGACCUGCGUUGUAUUAGCUAGUUGGUGAGGUAACGGCUCACCAAGGCGACGAUACAUAGCCGACCUGAGAGGGUGAUCGGCCACACUGGGACUGAGACACGGCCCAGACUCCUACGGGAGGCAGCAGUAGGGAAUCUUCGGCAAUGGGGGCAACCCUGACCGAGCAACGCCGCGUGAGUGAAGAAGGUUUUCGGAUCGUAAAGCUCUGUUGUAAGAGAAGAACGAGUGUGAGAGUGGAAAGUUCACACUGUGACGGUAACUUACCAGAAAGGGACGGCUAACUACGUGCCAGCAGCCGCGGUAAUACGUAGGUCCCGAGCGUUAUCCGGAUUUAUUGGGCGUAAAGCGAGCGCAGGCGGUUAGAUAAGUCUGAAGUUAAAGGCUGUGGCUUAACCAUAGUACGCUUUGGAAACUGUUUAACUUGAGUGCAGAAGGGGAGAGUGGAAUUCCAUGUGUAGCGGUGAAAUGCGUAGAUAUAUGGAGGAACACCGGUGGCGAAAGCGGCUCUCUGGUCUGUAACUGACGCUGAGGCUCGAAAGCGUGGGGAGCAAACAGG
rnacentral:rRNA from 1 species